GACGAACGCUGGCGGCGUGCUUAACACAUGCAAGUCGAACGGUGAAGCGCCUUCCUUUUUGGUGGGUGUGGAUGAGUGGCGAACGGGUGAGUAACACGUGAGUAACCUGCCCCCUUCUUCUGGAUAACCGCAUGAAAGUGUGGCUAAUACGGGAUAUUCUGGGUCUGUCGCAUGAUGGGUCUGGGAAAGAUAUUGUUUCGGUGGGGGAUGGGCUCGCGGCCUAUCAGCUUGUUGGUGGGGUGAUAGCCUACCAAGGCGGUGACGGGUAGCCGGCCUGAGAGGGUGGACGGUCACACUGGGACUGAGACACGGCCCAGACUCCUACGGGAGGCAGCAGUGGGGAAUAGUGCACAAUGGGCGCAAGCCUGAUGCAGCGACGCCGCGUGAGGGAUGGAGGCCUGCGGGUUGUGAACCUCUUUCGCCAGUGAAGCAGGCCUGCCUCGUUUGUGGGUGGGUUGACGGUAGCUGGAUAAGAAGCGCCGGCUAACUACGUG
rnacentral:rRNA from 1 species